UCUCUUCUCAAUCUUCAGCUCUUGUUUGCCAAUUUGGUGAUUAAUCGAAGAUCUGAUUUCCAACACUCCCUCUCAAAUCUUUCGAUUAAUUCCCAAAUAUGGAACUAGAGUUUUGUUCUCCAUCUCCUUUUGAUUUCUUCUCUUGAUUUCCUCUUCCAUUUGAGGAGCCCUUUUCACGAUUUCUGCAUAACUUACGGGUUUGCUUCCUCUACAUGAACUUGUGUGAAAUCUUCGUUCUUUGGUUUCUGCCUAUUAGGAUUUUGAAUCACUCCAAGCUUUCUUCUGAGUUCUUCAAAACCCUUUGUACCCAAUGGUUUUGUAAGUAUAUCUGCAAUUUGUUCAUCACCGCUGCAGUAUCUCAGAUUGAUGACUCCUUCUUUUUCUGCUUCUCGAACCACAUGAUAUCUUAUCUGAAUGUGUUUUGUUCUCUUGUGUUGAACAGGAUUUCUUCCAAUUGCAAUUGCUGAGGUGUUGUCACAAUAGAUUGGAACUGCCUUGCUAGUGUUGAUCCUCAAUUGUCCUAGUAGGCGCUUCAGCCACACUGAGUGAUUUGUGGCUUAGUGAUUUGUAGCUGAACUCAAUGCCAUGUACUCUGCUUCCGCUGUUGAUUGAGCGAUAGUGUCUUGUUUUUGAGUUUGCCAGGUAAACAUGGCACUGCCCAUUGUAAAACACAUCCCUGUAGUGCUUCUCAUGUCUUCUUUACAUCCUGCCCAAUCUGAGUCGGAAUAACCAACCAACUCCACCUGACUUGUCUUCUUAAAGUUCAACCCAUAAUCUAUUGUUCCCUGUAUGUAUCUCAACACUCUCUUUGCUUCUUGUAGGUGUUGCUCUCUUGGCUGUGACAAGCUUCUAGAUAGAUACGAUGCGGCAAACGCAAGGUCUGGUCGUGUGGCAGCAAGAUACAAAAGUCCUCCCACCAUACUCCGAUAUAAUUUAGGAUUGGUGAUCUCAAAACCUAGAAAGUAUCUGAGUCUUCCCAAA